UGUCGUGAAGUAGAUUCGAUAUUGCUGC
rnacentral:sRNA from 1 species